AACGCACCUUGCGCCCUUUGGUAUUCCGAGGGGCACACCCGUUUGAGUGUCGUGACUAUCCUCAAACCUUCUUGGUUUCUUGACUGGGAAGGCUUUGGACUUUGGGGGCUUUUGCUGGCAUUCCUUUGUUGGAGCCAGCUCCUCUGAAAUGAAUUAGCGGGGUCUGCUUUGCUGAUCCUUGACGUGAUAAGAUGUUUUCUACGUCUCGGGUUUUUGCACUCCUGCUUCUAACUGUCUUCACAGAAGACAAACGGUCAAGUGAUUGCCACUUGACCCCAUGAACCUUGACCUCAAAUCGGGUGAGACUACCCGCUGAACUUAA
rnacentral:rRNA from 1 species